ACAUCUGGGUGGAAGUCACCAGUGCCUGCACAUGGAACUAUGAAGAUCACCAUUUUUCAGAUUAAGAAACUGAGGCUCACAUUGUGAAAUAACACUCUCUGGAAAGAUUCUAGCAAGACCUUGUUUAUGUUGGAAACUGUUAGCAGACGCCGAAGCUGUCCGGGGCUGAGUGAGUACCACGUUACUCAGGCUUCACUGCGCUGAAGGAAGAGGUUGAGAUGAGGGCAGUCACUCACCUGUGAUGAAGACCCACUCUGCAGCUUCAUUUCCUGUCAUUACAGACAGUGCCUGGGCCCAAUCAGGAGGGGCUUAUGGGGAAUGGGGGGCAGGUGGCACUGGGGUGUCUAGGGAGAGCAAAUACAAAUUGGAUACCACCUAGAGGUCGCGAAAUGGAGAAUAAGUUUCUAAGAACAGCUAAAAAAUGAAAGAGACAUGACAACCAAAUGCAACAUGUGACCCUUGAUAGGCCCUUAGACUUUUUUUAAAAAAAAGCUAUAAAGAACAUUAUUGGGACCACUGUGUCAAUUUGAAUAUGAUUGCAUGUUAUAUGAUAUUAUUGCAUUAAUAUUAAACUUCUUAAGUAUGAAAUUGGUGUGGUGGUUAUGUAAGAGGAUUCUUUAAUUUUGGAGAAAUACCUGCUAUUAUAGUAUCUGCAGCUUUUA
rnacentral:lncRNA from 1 species